UGUAAUUACAUGGAAAGGGAAAAAAAAGAAAAACCCUACUGAGAGACAAACAUACUGGAAACUAGAGACCUAGUCUGCAUUAUUUGAUGGUGAGACAGUGUUGAAAAAUGCCCUCUCUCUCAGUUGCAUAACAGCUUGGCAAACAAGAGACAGAGAAGUCAUCGGAGAAAUAAUGGCACCCAGACUACGGAAAGGGCUGUACACAGUCUUUGCCAUCACAGUGAGGUUCAGGGAUAAUCUUUGAUGUUCUAAAUGUGCUGCAGUGGCAAAAUCUUCAACCCUGCUUUCAAGAAUCUGGAGUCCCUGAUGAUCAGGAUUUGGGGAACCGUGUUUUCUUUGGAGAAGACUUGCAGAGCCCCUUGAAUCACAG